rnacentral:misc_RNA from 1 species
GAUGAAGAACGUAGCGAAAUGCGAUACGUAAUGUGAAUUGCAGAAUUCAGUGAAUCAUCGAGUCUUUGAACGCACAUUGCGCCCCCUGGUAUUCCGGGGGGCAUGCCUGUCCGAGCGUCAUUGCUGCCCUCAAGCACGGCUUGUGUGUUGGGCCUCCGUCCUCCUCCCGGGGGACGGGCCCGAAAGGCAGCGGCGGCACCGCGUCCGGUCCUCGAGCGUAUGGGGCUUCGUCACCCGCUCUUGUAGGCCCGGCCGGCGCUUGCCGACACAUCAAUCUUUUUUCCAGGUUGACCUCUGAUCAGGUAGGGAUACCCGCUGAACUUAAGCAUAUCAAUAAGCGGAGGA